CAGUAGCCGCGGGAAAACGAAGGGGGCUAGCGUUGUUCGGAAUUACUGGGCGUAAAGCGCACGUAGGCGGAUAUUUAAGUCAGGGGUGAAAUCCCAGAGCUCAACUCUGGAACGGCCUUUGAUACUGGGUAUCUUGAGUAUGGAAGAGGUUAGUGGAAUUGCGAGUGUAGAGGUGAAAUUCGUAGAUAUUCGCAGGAACACCAGUGGCGAAGGCGGCUAACUGGUCCAUAACUGACGCUGAGGUGCGAAAGCGUGGGGAGCAAACAGGAUUAGAGACCCCGGUAGUCCCUGUCUCUUAUAC
rnacentral:rRNA from 1 species